UACGGAGGAUCCGAGCGUUAUCCGGAUUUAUUGGGUUUAAAGGGUGCGCAGGCGGGGGAUUAAGUCGGCGGUGAAAUUUUGCAGCUCAACUGUAAAAGUGCCUUCGAAACUGGUUUCCUUGAGUGUAGAUGAAGUAGGCGGAAUUUGUGGUGUAGCGGUGAAAUGCAUAGAUAUCACGAGGAACUCCGAUUGCGCAGGCAGCUUACUAAACUACUACUGACGCUCAGGCACGAAUGCGUGGGGAUCAAACAGGAUUAGAUACCCUGGUA
rnacentral:rRNA from 1 species